CCUACGGGUGACAGCAGUGAGGAAUAUUGGUCAAUGGCCGUAAGGCUGAACCAGCCAAGUCGCGUGAAGGAAGAAGGAUCUAUGGUUUGUAAACUUCUUUUAUAGGGGAAUAAAGGGAGCCACGUGUGGAUAUUUGCAUGUACCCUAUGAAUAAGCAUCGGCUAACUCCGUGCCAGCAGCCGCGGUAAUUCGGAGGAUGCGUGGGUUAUCCGGAUUGAUUGGGUUUAAAGGGUGCGUUGGUUGUUUUUUAAGUCAGCGGGGAAAGUUUGUGGCUCAACCCUAAAAUUGCCGUUGAAACUGGCAUACUUGAGUGUGUUUGAGGUAGGCGGAAUGCGUGGUGUAGCGGU
rnacentral:rRNA from 1 species